rnacentral:tRNA from 1 species
GCCCGUGUGGCCGAGCGGUUCUAGGCGCUUCAGUUUGGAACCGUGCGACAGCUACGGUCGCAGGUUCGAAUCCUGCCUCGGGCA